UAAAGAUAAAAUUCCUUUUGAAAAUUUUGCUAUCUGAUAUGACUAUUUGAAUUUUUGACAUUUUAAAUGUAAUAAUUGUUUCCAAAAAAGAAAGAAAAAUUGUUCUUUAUUAAGUAUACUAUAUUUUUUGGCACUUUAUGCCCCCAAAAGUUUAGAUUUGCAGCAAUGCUAAAGACGCUAAUUUGACAAUUGGAUGAAACAGUAUGUAUAGGGAUUUUUCUCCUAAAGCUUAAAUAUUAAUAUGAAUGCAUCUUAAUGCAUUACAAAUGGUCUCUUUAUUAACCCAAGACGUCUUUACAGUUAAUUCCUCAUUAUUGCGAAUGUAUAAAGUAUCAUGGAUUUAAUGAGUCGUUAGGUUCUGGGUUCUACCAAAUUUGCUACGGCAAAAUUAAAGGCGUGAUCAUGAUCUGAUUUCCAAGCAGAAGAAAUGUUUGGCUGAUAUUUGCAUAGACUCUAAUUAGAUCUGUACGGCACACAUCAGUUGAGCGGUAAUUGUGAAAACUAAAUGAAUGACAAUUGAAAUUCUCUCAUACACAUGAUUAAAAUGUCUCAUUCUUAAUUAAGAUAAUAAAUAUUUGUGAAGAGAAAACAGAACUUUAUCUUCAGAGCUGUGAGCGCUUUUAUUGUCUGCUUCAGCCCCCGCUCCCACCUGAAGACAAACUGCAUAAAACAUGAAGUUGGUUGCACACAACUGUGAUAAGAAGUUUGUUGCAUUGUCGAUGAGGAGGUCAAUUAUCAGAAAUGAUGUUUAUGAAUAAAUAUACACAGCACAAAAAAACAAGUUUUAUUGUGAAAAUUGGGAGUACAGCACCGAGUGAGCCUUUUGGGUUAAUACUCUUUCUAUCUGAUUUAAAAAAAAAAA